rnacentral:rRNA from 1 species
UACGUAGGGUGCAAGCGUUAAUCGGAAUUACUGGGCGUAAAGCGUGCGCAGGCGGUUUUGUAAGUCUGUCGUGAAAGCCCCGGGCUCAACCUGGGAAUUGCAAUGGAGACUGCAAGGCUUGAAUCUGGCAGAGGGGGGUAGAAUUCCACGUGUAGCAGUGAAAUGCGUAGAGAUGUGGAGGAACACCGAUGGCGAAGGCAGCCCCCUGGGUCAAGAUUGACGCUCAUGCACGAAAGCGUGGGGAGCAAACAGG